AGAGUUUGAUCCUGGCUCAGGAUGAACGCUGGCGGUCUGCUUAACACAUGCAAGUCGAACGGAACUUUUCGGAGUUCAGUGGCGGACGGGUGAGUAACGCGUGAGAAUCUGCCUUCUGGUCGGGGACAACCACUGGAAACGGUGGCUAAUACCGGAUGAGCCUACGGGUAAAAGAUUUAUUGCCAGAAGAGGAGCUCGCGUCUGAUUAGCUAGUUGGUGAGGUAAAGGCUCACCAAGGCAUCGAUCAGUAGCUGGUCUGAGAGGAUGACCAGCCACACUGGGACUGAGACACGGCCCAGACUCCUACGGGAGGCAGCAGUGGGGAAUUUUCCGCAAUGGGCGAAAGCCUGACGGAGCAAGACCGCGUGAGGGAGGAAGGCCCUUGGGUUGUAAACCUCUUUUCUUGGGGAAGAAAAAAAUGACGGUACCCAAGGAAUCAGCAUCGGCUAACUCCGCGCCAGCAGCCGCGGUAAUACGGAGGAUGCAAGCGUUAUCCGGAAUUAUUGGGCGUAAAGCGUCCGCAGGUGGCACUUCAAGUCUGCUGUCAAAGGUCGGGGCUUAACCCCGGGAAGGCAGUGGAAACUGAAGCGCUAGAGUGUCGUAGGGGUAGAGGGAAUUCCCGGUGUAGCGGUGAAAUGCGUAGAGAUCGGGAAGAACAUCGGUGGCGAAAGCGCUCUACUGGACGACAACUGACACUCAGGGACGAAAGCUAGGGGAGCGAAUGGGAUUAGAUACCCCAGUAGUCC
rnacentral:rRNA from 1 species